AAUUUAUUUCUCUCUCAAAUCAGGCCUAAGUGGCAGCUGGGACUCUACUCCUUGAAGCUCAUACGAACUAGGAUUAUGAAACACUCAGUGUCCAAGAUUAUCUUCAGCCUCAAAAUCCAGCAUGCAGCCAGAAGAGAGCAUUUGGAAAUCUCAAGGGAAAAACUUUAAAAAAAUCAUUUCUUUCCACUUUCAUUCACCAGAACUGAAUCUCAUGUCCUUACCCAGAUGUUCUUAAGUAUCCUGGAAGAUGAAGUUCCUUACUGAAUGGCUGCUUCUAAGGAACCAUUGUACAACUCAGGAAGACAGCACAGAUUCUGGUGGAAAAAAGAUAACAUGCAAGUAGAAGAGGACUAUUUGGAAGGGACAAAAAGAAGAGGGAGAGAGGUAAAUCUUUUUAUGGUGCACUAUUUUGCAGUGAAAUUGGCAAGUGGUUAACAGAAAGAAAAGAAAAAAAGUAAGAAGAAAGAAAAGGAAUGGGCCUGUUUAAUUUUCAAAUUUAAUAAAAGUCCAUGGGUGAUUGAGAGUUGGCAGAUAUAAUGUUUCCAGUCAAGCCCUGCCAUCUAAAGAGAAGUAUUUCAUAUCUGCACCAUGUCCAAGUCACAAGCAAACACUGUCCAGGGAUGCGGCAUGGAAUUCAUCUCUUUCCAGGAUUUAAAAAGAACAUAAAUCCCUGGUGUUUUGAAUGACUAGAUUUGUAUUGAAUUUUUUCUUCCUUUUUCUUUCUGGAGGAAAGUCAGUCAACCCAGACUACUUCCUUAGCUUCCAUUCUUGGGUAGAUUAUAAUUCAAAACAGAAAUAUUCAAUAAAGGAAUUGUCUGUGAUCUCAGAAUGUAUUUAUUGUAUGAUUCAAUAUAGAAAGCAUAAGAAAAUUAGAACAAAGGGAAAUUUAAACAUAGAAAUCAGAAACGUAUUAUGAUGAAUAAUAAUUACCUUUUUGUUUCCUGGAAAUGCUUUAAACUACAACACUUCUACCAAGUAAUUGUUAACCAUCGUAUUUAACCUAAUAAAGUUCACUCUAGCAAC
ensembl:lncRNA